rnacentral:rRNA from 1 species
AGAGUUCGAUUCUGGCUCAGGACGAACGCUGGCGGCGUGCCUAACACAUGCAAGUCGAACGGAAGUUAGAGCUUCGGUUUUAACUUUAGUGGCGAACGGGUGAGUAACGCGUGAGGAACCUGCCUUUCAGUGGGGGACAACAGUUGGAAACGACUGCUAAUACCGCAUGAUACUUUUGGGAGACAUCUCCUGGAAGUCAAAGCUUUAUGUGCUGAAAGAUGGCCUCGCGUCUGAUUAGCUAGUUGGUGAGGUAACGGCUCACCAAGGCGACGAUCAGUAGCCGGUCUGAGAGGAUGAACGGCCACAUUGGGACUGAGAUACGGCCCAG